rnacentral:lncRNA from 1 species
AAUGCAUCAACGACUGAAUUUUCUCGUUCGUCGUGAUAGUCUGAGGAUGAUGGCAUGGGCGGGAGGAGGAAGAAGGGCAUCAAGGGGAAGAUCAAGGAGAAGCUCCCCGGUGGCCAUGGCGACCAGCAACAGACCGCUGGCACCUAUGGGCAGCAGGGUCACACCGGAAUGACCGGCACCGGGGCGCAUGGUACAGCAGCCACUGGCGGCACCUACGGGCAGCAAGGACACACCGGAGUGACCGGCACGGGGACGCACGGCACCGACGGCACUGGCGAAAAGAAGGGCAUCAUGGACAAGAUCAAGGAGAAGCUGCCCGGACAGCACUGAGCGCGGCCCGCGGCAGCUACUUGAGAGUUGGGGUGCCGAGCUGGCCACCUUUGCAGAAUAAUAAGAUGGAGAUACAGUAGAACUUCCCGAAAUAAAGUGAGCUAGCUCACUCGUAAUAUCCGAGUUCUGAGUUUAGUGGACUUGAAUUUGGGUUGCUUGCUUGUAUUUGUAUGUACCCGGGACGUUUUGCACUCUGUACUUCGAUGUGUGAUUUUUUUUUGGUUGCAUUGUGUAUUUAUUAUAUGGGGAUAUACUGCAUUAUAUUUUGGUCUUUACUUGAGCUUUCUAUGUUAUUGCAUUUUUCGAAAUUUUGUGAGACAUAUUGUACAUUGCAUGGUAAAAUGUUUUAAGAGAAUUUGGAGCAUUCUAGGCAAUUG